CCACACCAAAAACAACUUUCCCGUGAACUGUCUUACGAGAUUCGCGCCGUGACGCGUGUUGACGCUGUGUGUGUUUGUGUCUUCUUUCGAGAGGAUAUUGUGAUGCAAACAGUGUUGACCGUGUGGGUCGGCUGAUCGAAGGUCGCUUUGUGCAUUAUUGUAUGGAGCGGCUGACUUAUUCUUUCAAACCCAUUACACAAUACUACUUGAUUCAUACUGUGAGGACGAAAGUCUUUGCUUUUACUAGAUAACAACUUUCAGCAGUGGAUGUCUAGGCUCGCACAUCGAUGAAGAACGCUGCGAACUGCGAUACGUAAUGCGAAUUGCAGAAUUCAGUGAGUCAUCGAAAUUUUGAACGCAUAUUGCACUUUCGGGUUAUGCCUGGAAGUAUGUCUGUAUCAGUGUCCGUAAAUCAACCUUGCCUCUCUUUGUCGGUGUAGUCCGGCUUGGAGUGUGCAGAUGUGAAGUGUCUCGCGCUACGUCAGUUUGAUGCUAUGCAAUAAGACUAGGCGCGCGAGUCCUUUGAAAACGACACGAUCUUUCUAUUGCUUUCUGUGGAGCGCGACAAUUGAACGCGGCGGUCUUGGGAUCGCCUGCAGUCGAUAGCGACUUUGGCAGAGACAUAUGGAGGAUACCUCAUUUCGCGGUACGUUAGGCUUCGGCUCGACAAUGUUGCGUAGUGUGUGUGUUUUUCCGUCUUUGCUUUGAGGUGUACUGUUGAUUGUGGGCUUGAACCUGGGUUCUGUGUGUUAGUAGAGUGUGGCUGUCUCUGUGGUUUGCGUCUGCGUGCUAUUUCGGUCGCACGUAGGUAGGAGGGUUCCAUUUGGGAAACAUUGUACUGCGCACUGGAAAGUGUGUGUGUAUCUCACUUGGACCUGAUAUCAGACAAGACUACCCGCU
rnacentral:rRNA from 1 species